AGCGAACGCUGGCGGCAGGCCUAACACAUGCAAGUCGAACGAACCUUUCGGGGUUAGUGGCGGACGGGUGAGUAACACGUGGGAACGUUCCUUUAGGUUCGGAAUAACUCAGGGAAACUUGUGCUAAUACCGAAUGUGCCCUUCGGGGGAAAGAUUUAUCGCCUUUAGAGCGGCCCGCGUCUGAUUAGCUAGUUGGUUGAGGUAAUGGCUCACCAAGGCGACGAUCAGUAGCUGGUCUGAGAGGAUGAUCAGCCACAUUGGGACUGAGACACGGCCCAAACUCCUACGGGAGGCAGCAGUGGGGAAUCUUGCGAAAUGGGCGAAAGCCUGACGCAGCCAUGCCGCGUGAAUGAUGAAGGUCUUAGGAUUGUAAAAUUCUUUCACCGGGGACGAUAAUGACGGUACCCGGAGAAGAAGCCCCGGCUAACUUCGUG
rnacentral:rRNA from 1 species